ACUUGAAUAGCUUAUAUUAAAGAGCAUAACAUUGAAGAUGUUAAUGAGAUUAAUUAAAUCUUUAAGUA
rnacentral:tRNA from 1 species